rnacentral:rRNA from 1 species
CCGCACGGGUGAGUAACACGUAUCCAACCUGCCGUCUACUCUUGGACAGCCUUCUGAAAGGAAGAUUAAUACAAGAUGGCAUCAUGAGUCCGCAUGUUCACAUGAUUAAAGGUAUUCCGGUAGACGAUGGGGAUGCGUUCCAUUAGAUAGUAGGCGGGGUAACGGCCCACCUAGUCUUCGAUGGGUAGGGGUUCUGAGAGGAAGGUCCCCCACAUUGGAACUGAGACACGGUCCAA